rnacentral:rRNA from 1 species
UUGACCUCAAAUCGGGUGAGACUACCCGCUGAACUUAAGCAUAUCAAUNAGCGGAGGAAAAGAAACUAACAAGGAUU